UAUGUGAUCGUCUCUCGCAUAUCAAUAAGCGGAGGAAAAGAAACUAACAAGGAUUCCCCUAGUAACGGCGAGUGAAGCGGGAAGAGCUCAAAUUUGAAAUCUUAAAGGGUUUCCCUUUACGAAUUGUAGUUUAAAGAAGUGUUUUCUGUUGAGGUUUUGGUAAAAGUUCUUUGGAAUAGGACAUCAUAGAGGGUGAGAAUCCCGUAUUUGACCUUUACUUUCAACUUUGUGAUACACUUUCAAAGAGUCGGAUUGUUUGGGAAUGCAGUCCAAAAUGGGUGGUAAAUUUCAUCUAAAGCUAAAUAUUGGCGAGAGACCGAUAGCGAACAAGUACCGUGAGGGAAAGAUGAAAAGAACUUUGAAAAGAGAGUUAAACAGUACGUGAAACUGCCAAAAGGGAAGCGUUUGACACCAGUGUUGUUUUUCUGAAAAUCAAUUAAAGAACUGUCUAUGCUAAGCUGUUUAGACUUUAUCAGCUAUCUGUUUAGUUUUGAGCUUUUCUUUAAUGCACUUUUCAGUUAACAAGUCGACAUCAAUUUCUUUUGCUGUAAAAAAGCUUGAGGAAGGUGGCUUGAGAUUCGUCUUAAGUGUUUAUAGCCUCUUGCCUAUGCAGUCGGAGAGAUUGAGGUCUGCAGCGUAGAUCCUUCGGGGCUAAAUGCAUUUGUGCUAAGUUAUAGCAUUUUAUAGACAACUUGUUGACUAUGAUUUGUCUUGUAGCUUACUCGCUUAUGUUAUUUUACCUACGCUUAGGAUGUUGAGCGCAUGUCUCUCUCU
rnacentral:rRNA from 1 species